rnacentral:rRNA from 1 species
CUGCCGGACUGACUGCUAUCUGAUUGGUACUAAGCCAUGCGAGUCGUUGCAGUAAUACAAGGCGGACUGCUCAGUAACACGUAGUUAACUUAACCUAUGGAUGGGGAUAACCUCGGGAAACUGAGAAUAAUACCCAAUAGACCACAGUGCCUGGAAUGGCCUGUGGUUGAAAUGAUUUAUCGCUGUAGGAUAGGACUGCGGCCUAUCAGCUUGUUGGUGAGGUAAUGGCCCACCAAGGCUAUAACAGGUACGGGCUCUGAGAGGAGGGGCCCGGAGAUGGGUACUGAGACACGGACCCAGGCCCUAUGGGGCGCAGCAGGCGAGAAACCUUUGCAAUGUGCGAAAGCACGACAAGGUUAAUCCGAGUGUCUCCUGCUAAAGGAGUCUUUUGUCAGUUGUAGAAUCACUGGUGAAUAAGGGGUGGGCAAGUUCUGGUGUCAGCCGCCGCGGUAAAACCAGCACCUCGAGUGGUCAGGAGGUUUAUUGGGCCUAAAGCAUCCGUAGCCGGUUGCAUAAGUUUUCGGUUAAAUCUAUGCGCUCAACGUAUAGGCCGCCGAAAAUACUGUGCAGCUAGGGAGUGGGAGAGGUACACGGUACUCCAUAGGAAGGGGUCAAAUCCUUUGAUCUAUUGAUGACCACCUGUGGCGAA